CUGAUGCUUUAUUAUAUUUUUCUACUACAGAUGGUAAACUGAAGCAGCAUUAGUCACUUUAUUGUUUAGAAAGGAGGUUGGAAAACUAUCCCCAUAACAUAAUUUUAAUCCAUAUGAAUAUAUAAAGUAUGCCUUUUCUGUGGAUGUGCUUUGCUUUGUAGAUCUGCCUACCCAGACUCCUUGAGAAAACUUUUGUUAAUAUGGGCCCAUUUGAACUCUGCUUCAAUGGAUUUCAAUGGUGCUAGCAGUUUCAUUUGAUUUUGUGUUUCAUUUCCUCCUAUUAUGUAAGCCUGCUAUGACUUAAUGGCAUACUCUUGUGUUUUUCUGUUGUGAUGGCAGAUUUACUCUUCAUAAAUUGCUUUAACUAUCCUGAUGUGUUUCUCUUCUAUAACUUAAAAUAAACCAGUUUACAAUAAGAAAAGGAAGAGAAAGGACAGAAAACCAACAGUACACAGUAGUAAAGUUGUGAGUGGACAAAUGGACCACUACGAAAGAACAAGGCAAAUAUCCAAACUCCAUUAAAUUGGAGAAUACAGCUAAAGACAAACCGUAGUGAAGGAAGUCUUACAGUGUGGAGAAAGUUCUUUGACAUAAAAUCAUGAUUUGGCAUCAAAGAAAUUCAAAUACUGCUGUUAAAACAGAAGAUCUAAUCCAAUGAUGGGGGAAAACCACCCCUCGACAUAUCUCAUCAUGCACAAUACAGAAGAGUGCAACACAAAGGAGAGGGGAAACAAUCUUGAAAUCAGGCAAAAAAAUCUAGGCAGCUAGAAAGUUGAUGAGAUUACAGUCAACUUCAUACUAAUAAUUGUUCAAUGCUGGUAUUUGGACAUGCUUUGCAAAAUAAGGUAUCAGCUGGUUAAGAACAAUUAUUCACUUCCAAUAUUUUUACAUAUGAACAUCAUGUGACAUUCACUAGAAACCCAACAUUUUAUAAAUCAUUCUAAAUUUCAAUAUCAGAGAAAGUUACAGAAACAGGAAAAUUAAGCAAUUUUAAAAUACUAGAGUUUACAGACAACCGCAAAGAUACUUUCUCUAAUCAAGAUACAGUACUUCCUUAAAGCUUGUGAGUCCUUUGUUUUUGUUAAUUCCUUUUAUCUUUACUCAUUGAACCUCCAUAUCCUUUGAAAAAACAAACAAUGUCCUUUGGCUCUAUAUUCAAACUCAAUUGUUUCAAUACCCAGAUUCAGAAGAGAAUUUUUCUGUUCAUCCCUGCCAAUGUUCACAAAUAACUAGUGCUAAACAAAGUGGUAGUGAAAGGUUUGGCUACUUAGCCUUUUUUUGAGACUCCACCAUCCUUCACCUCUUAUGACAUUUCAUAGCUCUACUACAUGCCGAAGUGGUCUCUCCACUAACAAUUUUAGUGAAUAAUAGGAAUUGCUGACUGGCAGCCGGCAUUCUUACCCACUAUCUACCCUGCUCAGAGCAAGUAUUACAUUCUGAUUAUUAGAUUAAACAAACAACCCAACAGCCUUCCUCUAACCCCACUCUUAAAAAAACCUUAAAUCUUGGACAAUAACAAAUUUGUACUUAUCUUAAAAAUCUGCAGUAAUUAAAACAAACACACUGGAAUGUUAUUUACUUAUUUAUGAGAAGUCAAUCUGUUCAAUUUUAAAGGAGUAGUGGGGGAAAAUAAUCAAUUGUGUGUCAGCAGCAGAUUAAGGAAAUGUUGCAGAAAAUACUCAAUAUCUUCCUCACUGUUCUAAACUCUAAAAUCACUCACAUGGGUGAGCAAUAACAGGAGCAGAACAGGAGCAGAACUUCUGGGCUUGAAAAGCAUUUAACAAUUACAUUUUUUUAUACUGUGGGUGAUCUUGAAAUGAUCAGCAUUAAGAAAUUCUAAACAUACAAGAAAAGAAAAGAGCAAGCAAACAAAGCAUCAAUUUUUGGUAGACUGCUUUUCAGGGGAUAGGGCUAAUCAUGCUACUUUUAUAAUGUUUGUGUUUCUUUAAAAUUAUUAUGCAGAAAGCAACAGAACAAGCACAAAAGGCAUUUUAUAAAAUAAACUCUGAUACUGGCAUGCAAUUGUAUGACAUGGCCUGUCUUUGGACUCUCUGAUACACUAAGAGAGAUGCAGUAGAGAGCAUUAUACCAUUAAAAACCACCACAGAAUCAUUACUUUUUGCAAGUUUUGGGACUGCCUUUCAAAGGCACAAAAGGGAGUUUGGGUCCAACUUCCAUUGCCUUUCCAUGGGAGUUGGGUGUCUCAUUGCCUUUUGCGCCUUUGAAAAGCUCCCCAUAUGUUUUGUGGGGUGGGUAUUCAUAGCUUUUUUUCUGAAUCCCUAAAGAAGAGAUUCAAGACCUUUGUGGUAAGGACCAUGACACCUGGUCAAAGUGAAGCUGUUAAAUGUGGUUACUGUUCUGGUGGCAAUAAGCAAACAGCCAUACAAUUCAUGACUUAACUAUUAGCUGUUUACCCAGAUUUAAUUUGAAUGCAUGUAAUGUUGGCUGCACUCAACUCACAAAGGUGUUAAUACUAUACAGAACAACUCCACUGCAAGAACAAACAGCAGCCCUUGAAUUCAGAGCCCAGAAACGUUUCUGACCUCAGCCAUUUUAUUUGCUUAGUGAGAUCAGAAAAGAGAUACUACUAAAUUUGGUAUCCUUUUCAGUAUUCUAAUGAGAUACUACUAAGAGACUAACAAUACUCAUGUAGUAACAGACCAUCAACAGCCAUGCUGGCUUUAUUAAUUUUGUAGGCUAAAGGACUGUCUUUGUACUGAAUGGUGCAUUAUUGCAAUAAUUAGAGAUAAGGUUUUCUCAAUCCUGGCUCCUGUUCAAAAGAAAUUGGCUUGGAAUCCCUAGAUUAUGCCAUUCUUUCACUUUUAGUUGUAAUGUGCGAACCUCUUACAGGUGAAGGGUUAUAGUGAUGAGUAUAACAAUUGUACAGUACUAAAAGUCAGAGAAAAGAUGUGAGCAUACUUUGAUGGAUCACGGCUAACAUUGAAAAACUCAACUGCAGAGAAAUGCCACUUUUACCACUGGGCAUUGUAGGGGGCCAUCAAAUCAGAGAGAGUAAGUGAGGGGAAAAAAGGGUUAACCACCUCAGGACACAUAUUUUAAUGCUAGAAGGCAUGUAAAUAACACAGGACAUAAGAACAUAAGAAGGGGGAAGGAUCACUUGAUUGCCUGCUCUGUUCAUUCCCUCUGGGGAACCUGGCAUUGGCCACUGUCGGAAGACGGAAUACUGGGCUACAUGGAUCUUUGGUUUGACCCACUAUGGCUGUUCUUAAAGCAGUAAGUGUGAAUAUAUUCUGCUUUCACUUUAAAGUUAUCUUUUUUGGACUGAAGAUGGAAAGAAAUAACUAAAAAAAUAUGACUGUGCAGACAAAACACAUUACAUUUCCCCACAAUCACCCUAUUUCCCUUGGCAGAUGAAUUUAUUUUGGGUGGAAAUAUUAUAGUCAUUUUGUUGGUACAAGCAAUAUUUGUUUAAAUGGGAACCUUGCAUAAUUUUUAAUUAUGCAUAUUUAAUAUUAUCCAAAGUGGGUCAUCCACUCAGUCAAAACUGAGUGAAAAAGGGGUUAAAAUUAUGGAAGAAUGCAAAGGGAGAACUAGUCAGAGUCUUCUCCAGGAACUGAAAUUAGAGGAGGUGUUUGUUGUCUGAGGCCCUGAUCCUGCAACUGCCUCUAUGCAAACAGACCCCAGCACCUGUGCAGAGUCCCACUGACUUCAGUGAGCCUCUCUGCAGACACAGGGGUCUGCCCACACAGUCAGUUGGAGGUUCAGGCCCGAAAUGUUGUGCUUCUCAGCUCAUGGCAAAGGACCUUCCUAUUUCUGCUUUAAAUGGCACACGGGAAGCAUGUCAUUCUAAUCUGCGCUUCAAAAGCACAGCAUAGGGGUAAAGCCUGAAGAACAUAGUUCAGCACCAUUAAUUCAGUAUGGAAGGGAAGCUGGGAUUUUCAGACUCAAUCUGCAUUUGGUGGCUUUGGCAGUAUCACCAACUUUGACACAAGUAUUGCCUAGAUAAUGUCCUCACAGUGCUUGGCAGUUUGAAGAGGAUGAAGCACUAAUGGGCAUCUUAUUAAUUUUAGUGAUACCAAUUACCACCCCUAUGAAUCCUAAUACCCUCCACAAACAUGACAUUUAAAAUAAUAAUAAAUAAAUAUAACCCCAAAACAUUUAUUUAACCCCUCCUCUCUUAAAUCAGAGCAGUUUUAGGGGCAUCAACUCCACUCAAAACUUCACAAAUCCCUUGGGAUGGAGGUAAAAGGAAAACUGCUUUUUAAACACCUGAGACCUGGACUGUAAAAACUUUAAUGGUUACUUGUUUGCUUUUGGAACCCUAUCCUGAGAAUUGGUGAAAUCUAUCCCCACAUAUCAAUAACCCAUUGGAUGUAAGGAAAGCAGUGUAUCCAAAGCAUACAAUGGCACGUCUGAUCAAAACACUGUUAAAGGAGGAUGAAACUACAACAGCUGUGCUGCCUGCUUCAUCUAACUGCUGAGCCACUGUAGAACUCAGCUCCUCCUCCAGCCCAACACAAAAGCAAAAUUGUGUCACCUCACCUCCAUGACAUUACCUAGUGGUACAUUACUGGCACUUUUUCUAUCAGUCUCAUAUGGUAGAUACACACACAUCUGUCUGUGUGUUUACAUACAAAAGGUCUGAUAACAAUAAUAUAUUAUACACACACACGUGUAUGUAUAUAUAAAAAACCCAAGGAGUUGCAUUAGCCAAAAAAAAGUGUUUUGUGAGAAACAACAAUAAAAAUGAUAUCAUGACCACAACUUUUCUUUUAAAAUUAAUAGAUACCCAAAGCUAUGAUUUUAUUUGGGGCCUUUGUACCUAGACAGGGAGUCCAAUGGAGUAUAUCUGAAGGCACUUAAUAUGCUCCACUCAGCUGAAAGAGGGUUACACAGGGAGCUGGGGAGUUUUGGAAGAGGGCUAAAGGGCAUAGAGGAGAGAGACAGAUGAAAAUGAGCCCUGAAUAACUGUGAUCCACACAGCAUCAGGUGCUAACAUGAAAACAAACAACCCAGAUGUUGAGAAGGUCUUUCUUCAAAAAAAGAAAGCAGCCAAUUGCAAAUGUCUUUGUGUUUCUAUGGACUGAGCACAUCAUGCAGCUCUGUCACUGCAUCAUACACUCUUAGAGAUAUUUAACUUUGUCAGUUCAUUGACCUCCUCAGUUUCUGCUUCCUCACAAUCAUUCUUUACAGCUUUGCCAAACCUGCACCUGUCUUCCGCUUUCACUGACUCUUUUUGGAGCUUCUUGUAGUAUGGAAGCAUAUCCUUGGGUUCUAAGUUGUUAUCUGAGCCCUGGGAUGUCUUGUCAGAAUUCUGUACAGAAGGCACCAGAUUGGCAAUCUCAUCGGUAGGAGACCGCCCAA